ensembl:lncRNA
CUGAAAAGAUGUCUUCUGAUCAGAACUUGGAUUUUUAGCAACUUUGGUUAAACUGAACUCAGACUGCCAUUGAAUAUUACAGUCAGUGCUCCCCGUGGACUAGCAUCGUCAGUGCCUCCCAGCUUGGAAAAUACUACACUUAAAAUCAGAAAAGUGAUUGGUCUUGAACCAGGAUAUUUUUCUUCCCCCCACAGGAUUCAAGAGCUUGCAUCACUGAAAUGAGAACAAGAUAACUCACUCAGAGGAUCAUUAUUGGUAGGAAGACUCUCAAUCUCUUUAAUGAGGAGUUCACAGGCCUUCAAAUGAUUCUGAGGCCCACUUUAAGUACUGGAAAGCUGCAAUGAGGUGUUCUGAAAGCCUACUCUUCUCCAGGCUGAACAAGCCCAGCUCCCUCAGCCUUUCUCCAUAAGAGAAGUGCUUCUUCAGAUGUUUGAAGUGAUUAUUUGUCCUAGUUUUAGCUGGGACAGAACUGCUUUUCUUAAAC